UAGGGAAUAUUGCACAAUGGAGGAAACUCUGAUGCAGCCAUGCCGCGUGUGUGAAGAAGGCCUUCGGGCUGUAAAGCACUUUCGGAGGGGAGGAAGAAAAUGACGUUACCCUCAGAAGAAGCACCGGCUAACUCCGUGCCAGCAGCCGCGGUAAUACGGAGGGUGCAAGCGUUAAUCGGAAUAACUGGGCGUAAAGGGCAUGCAGGCGGUUCAUCAAGUAGGAUGUGAAAUCCCCGGGCUCAACCUGGGAACAGCAUACUAAACUGGUGGACUAGAGUAUUGCAGGGGGAGACGGAAUUCCAGGUGUAGCG
rnacentral:rRNA from 1 species